rnacentral:lncRNA from 1 species
AGAGCGGCAGCGCCUCCCGGUCACUACAACAACGGCGGCCCAGUCAAACCCCGCGCUCCAGGCAUGGCCAGCCGAGCCCCGAGACACCGCCAGCCCUGUAAAGAGAGGACGGGAGGUAUGCGCCGGGUCAGCUGUGGCCACACACCAAGCCAUGUUAACUAACACUCGCGUUCUCCCUGGUUUGAUGUCAGGAAGUGGGGUAGUAACCAGGACUGGAAUAAGAGCGAUGAAUGGAAGGGCGUUGUGAGCCUGUGAUCGAUGCGAUCAGAGUUCUAUUACGUUUUAAAGAGACAGCACCCGUGACGUUUAAGGUAUUUCACCCCAAUAAUAAAAUAAUAAUGCCAGAAGCUGAAGAGUAAUCAGGACCUCAGGAUUACUCAUAGAUAACACAAGUGUGAAGAGAGGGGAGAGCAGCAAAGGCUGAGCUGCGUGUGCCUGGUCCCUUCCAGACUUUCCAGAUAACUUUGCCCCACGGAGGACAAGGAAAGCCAAAAGAGAGAAGCCAGGAUUGUUAGUCUUGGAAAAUGCCUCCAUAUAGAAACAUGAGCCGGAGAAUAAAUCACUUGCCUCUCUAACCAGUUGGAUUUGGUCCGUGAGUUCCUAGUUUUGUUCACCUGACUUAGUCCCUGACUUUUAAAGUCAAGUGCAUCAACAUGCUGCCAGUACUUUGAUGAACAUCUAUACAGGAUCCAUCUCUACAGCAGUGAAUUCCACCUGGGGUAAAGUAUGCAUGUAGGUUAGGAUGCUACAGUGGGACUCUGUCUGCUUUUUCUGUCUGUUUCUGCUAAGGCCUCCACACAUUAGAUGGUCAGUACUCUUUGUUCUAUGGGAAGGGCUAGAAUACCUAAACAGGACUUUCACGGAGGGAGCAACAAACCAGUUUUGUGGCUCUCAGCAAACAUCCAUCUCAAAGGUGAGUUUGGAAAUAAUGGAGAGUAUGUCAGUGUGUUUGUGUCUCAGGCCUACUUCCCACGCCUAUGGGGGAAGGGUGGGACUUAUCUCUCUCUUCCCUCAAGCCUGCUAAGAGGAGAUUAGACUAUAUUUGAGAUAAAUACCUCCAGCACAGUGACAGCCAUGCAGCUCAUGCCUGUGAAAUCAAAAGGCAAGAGGAUGCGGCUGGCUGGCUGCUCUGAGGGCAGAGAGAAAAGACCAGACAGCUCUUGGAACAGACUGUUCUUCCAGUGACGAUGGGGACAAAGAUGCAUGAGUGUAUCUCCAGGACUGGAUGUGAGCUGCAUGGGAGAAAAAGAGUGCAGGCCUGCAGCCCGGGAAAACCCAAAAGGAUGCCAUAAACCCAACAGGAAGAUGGGUUGUCAGGGCCCCAGGAGCUGAGAAAGGAAUAAAAAUGACAGAGAGAGAAAAGUACAUUGUCCACAUCAUAAAUAACACAGCUGAAUGUGCCCAAUGAGGUCCUCAGAGAACCCACAGAAGUGCCCAUGGGAACAGUUCUCUCUGGGACUCAAACCCAGGGAGAGGUGCUUUUAAACAUGCAAAGAGAGGGAACCAUCAUCAUAUUACAUUGCAGUGUCCACAUGAAUAAGACCCUAACUUACCUCAUAUUUCUCCUCCUUCCUCUGCUUUAAUCCAGGAGGAGCCAGAGACCUCUCAGUAAGUGAAGAAGAGGGGAAAUAGGUAAAAAGCCACUAUUCCCCAUGUUAGAUGAGGAAAUAGGAACAUUCUCCUCCUCUACCCAACACCCACUGUAGCUUUUAGUGGCUGGAGUCAGGAGAGAAAAGUUUUCAUGUUAAAUGAAUUUCAGAGGUUUGACUAUGACAUAGAAAUGGAUAUUUUAAUUACUGAAAUAAAACUGUUUUGUAAUUAGAGGUGACUGGAAGACAUUUUAUCCUCAGCAGAAGAAUAGAUAAGGAUAGGACCUUCCCUCCCCCUUGGACCCCACCAAGGUUUUAUCCAGAGGCAGAGGAAGAAGUAACCCUUUAUGUGAGUUUGAAUGGGCAGAAGAAGAAAAGGAUGAAGUUGUCUUCUAAUUGCACUCUAUGAAUGUUGCUUUUUUGUUAACAUAAAUGUCACAUAUAUUUUUAGCUGGUGUAACAAAAAAAAAAACAUCUCAAGCCGGCUUGCAUAAUAACAGCUUUGGGCACAGUCUGAUCAAGGCCCCGGUUCUGUUUGCUAGUGAUCCUCCUGAUUCUGCCCUCUCUCCAUGCUAGUUUCUUCCUCAGAUUGACAUUCCUCUUGGUCACCAGAUGCCUACAAUCAGCGGGUGCAACUCUCUGCUCCCUGCUCACUUCUGAAGGGGAGAGCAUGGAUACCAACCACAGAACAAAGCCCUGCAGUCUCCCGCUGAGUAGAACACCCACGAAGAAGUGUUGGCCAUUUCCCUAUUGCCAGGGAAAUAUCAUGUAUUGGUUGGAUUAGGCCUGUAUUAAUCCAGUUAAUGGAACAUAGUUAAACUAUCCCAGACCCUCCAUAGACACUAGAGAAAAGGUGAAUCCAACCCAAAUGUAAGACUGCUACUCAAUAGGACAGAAAAGGCAUGGAUGUCAGUGAAAUGGGAAAAAAAAUGUGUGCCAAAGGAGAUCAGGAAGGACUGAAUAGAAGACAUGGCCUUUGAAUUGAAGCCUUUAAUGAGGAAAGGGGAUUGACAUUGUAUGAGGGCCAGGGUGGAGAGCGGGUUGUGAAGAGGAUAGGGAAAAUGCAAGGACACUGCGGAUAUAAGAAUUAAUGGGAGAAUCAUGGGCCACAAAGCAGCAGGAUUAUAUUACAGAGAUUGUAAGUAGUGUUUAUUGAAGCACAGGGUACUGGGGAGGUGGAGGAAAGAUGAAACUGUUAAGGAAUUUAGACACAGCAUGUAGUGGUUGGCAGGAAACAGAUGACACUCUCAAACAGGGUAGUUGAGGAGAGCUAAUAAAGGGACCAUUUACCAAGGUGUAGUUAGGAUUAAGAGAAAGCAAACUGGGAUGGUGCUGUGCUAUGGGCUAGCAACAGCAGGAAGUCAUUUCUGUCCCUAGGUCUGAAGAGGGAAGCAGGGGAGCCAACACCAAGGAACCAGAGAUCUUAGAGUCUGAAAGUCUGCAUGAUAGAAGCCAUGGCCUUUAGUAGAGGGAUCUUGCCUACUCUUAGCAGCCUGGCUUGGAGGGGCCUGGGGAAAUAAUACCCCAACCUCUCUCCUCUUCUUCAAUAUUGAUGACUUCCAUUGGUUAAUAUCAAACUGGAAGUUGGAGAGAAAGGGAGUCUAUCUAUACAAGUCAGCACCCUGUAGCCCAGAAGAGAGUAAAAAGGGGGUAAAAAGCAAUUUCCGAGGGACAAACAGAAAACACCCAGCACAGAAGGAGGAACAAACAUUUGGAGGAACAAACAGAAAAUAUCAGAAAACAUUUUAAUCCUGGGUCCUGGGACGUCAUGGAAGGUUUUGAAGUUAGGAGCACCGCCAUCCUCUAGGGGGAGCUCAAGCAUUUCUCUCCACUCAUCCCAAAGGCGGUGCAUCAAAAGAUCAGGGUGAAACUGACUUCAAGGAAAGAGCCCUCGGCUAGAGGAAGAAGCCUGGAGAAGUAAAGGGAUUGCUCCUGGAAUUGGAAAUCUACCCUUUGCACUUCUAUUUACUGCAUUUGGAUUGAUUUGCAAGAAUAACCAUUAAAAUAAUCAAAGCUAAAAGUAAGUAUGUACUGUGUGCCAAGUUCUUGACUCAUUUGGCACAACUCUUCGGAGGUAAGCACCAUUGAAAUUCUCACCUUCUAGAUUAAGAGGCUGAUAGAACCUGGAUUUGAGCCCAUUGACAAAGGACCACUCUCUGCUCUGUUCUGUUCUCAUGCUGCUGGUUUAGUCAGCUGAGUCAAAGGUUGCCUUUGCUUAGAAGGCCUAACAAAACCAGAGCAGGGUCCAUGGAAAAGGAGACAUGAAAAGGGACAUAUUUCCUGGUAAGAUUUGUAUUCAUUUAACAAUUUUAAGCACAUAUUUAAUAACCAGGCACUCACUACCUGACAAGCUCUGAGCCAGGUGCAGGGUAUCCGAGGGAACUAGGAGAGAGGCACUAAGUGCUGUACUAAGAACCUGAAUGAGUGCAUUUGAGUCCUGGGUCUGCUACAUGUGUGACCUAGGAAAAGUCACUUAAAUCAUUUAACUGUCUCCUCAUCUUUAACAUAUAGAUGGUUAAAAAGUACACAGCACUUGGAAUAAUAAACGGGCAGAUUGUUAAUGUUGAAGGUGUGAGCUGCUGUUCUUACAACACAAUGUCAGCCCUUGAAGCUCUUACAGUAGAUGGAAAGAUGGAGAUGAGUAGGAUCUAAUUAUUGGCCAAGUGCAAAGGAGCUAAAAAGGCCACCCACGCUGCUACUUACUUCAGCAAUACCCAAGGAAACAAGGGCAAAAAAAGAGCUCUAGAGGCUCUUCUUGGUCUAGCCCUGCUUUUGAGUUUGGGGCCAAAGCUCUAAUUCACUCUAAUUCAGGGGUGUUAGCAAGGUUCUUGUCUGGCAUUCUAGCUCUGAACAGUUGAUACCAGCUUCCUGAACCAUGUGUUAAGAGAGAUCUCAGACUGCAUGUAGAGAACGUAUGCCUUGAGAGAUAAGUGAUGUCUGCCAUUGAUUGAGGGUGGAGAGGAGGAGCCAAGUGGUUCUAGAACAGUGUCCUUUUGCCUAGAAUGUCCCUACAGCAGGAGCAGCUGGGCAAGACUCAGAAGUCCUGAUUAUAAUCACAGAUUAAGGUGACCAACUAUCCCAGUUUGCCUAGGACUGUUCCAGUUUUAGAACUGAAAUUCCUGCAACCCAGAAAACCUCUCAAUCUUGGGCACAUCCCAAUCAGCUUUGCAGGCUUUCUCUAUCUGACAAUACCAAAAAAAAACAACAACUAUGAGCUCUGACUAGAAGAGAUUACUCUUUUUGUCUUGGCCAAUUUCAGCCUGUGAAAAUGCAUCUUAUUCUGGCCUGUAUGUGCCAGCCAUAUGCCCUCAAAUGUUCCCCCACUUCACAAUAGCUGACCUCCAUACCUCUCUCCUUUCUCAGCUAUUUUUCCUGCUGUAUCCACUGACGCCUUAGUAGGAAACAGAUGGCACCAUCAAAGGGUUUAGCUGAAGAGAAUUUCAUACAGGGAUUAUUUACAGAGGCGUGGGCAGGGUUAAUGGAACCAACAAGAGCUGGGGAGACAGUCAGGGAUUAGCUCUUACCACAGGAGGUCUGCAGGGACAAAGGGAGGGGAUGCUGUUACCAGCCUGGUAAGAGCUGAAACUGUGCAGGAGAGGUCACUGGGCCUGGGAGCUGGAGCCUCUGUCUCAUCUGCGGUGUGGCAGAGAGGAAAGAGGAGGAGGGCAUAAAAAUCCC